rnacentral:rRNA from 1 species
GACGAACGCUGGCGGCGUGCCUAAUACAUGCAAGUAGAACGCUGAAGAGAGGAGCUUACUCUUCUUGGAUGAGUUGCGAACGGGUGAGUAACGCGUAGGUAACCUGCCUUGUAGCGGGGGAUAACUAUUGGAAACGAUAGCUAAUACCGCAUAACAAUGGAUGACACAUGUCAUUUAUUUGAAAGGGGCAAUUGCUCCACUACAAGAUGGACCUGCGUUGUAUUAGCUAGUAGGUGAGGUAAUGGCUCACCUAGGCGACGAUACAUAGCCUACCUGAGAGGGUGAUCGGCCACACUGGGACUGAGACACGGCCCAGACUCCUACGGGAGGCAGCAGUAGGGAAUCUUCGGCAAUGGGGGCAACCCUGACCGAGCAACGCCGCGUGAGUGAAGAAGGUUUUCGGAUCGUAAAGCUCUGUUGUAAGUCAAGAACGGGUGUGAGAGUGGAAAGUUCACACUGUGACGGUAGCUUACCAGAAAGGGACGGCUAACUACGUG